rnacentral:lncRNA from 1 species
CAUGAUUCUAUACUUAGAGGAUUGUGGGGAGCCACUUUGAAUGAUUCGCGUCUUCCCUCUUGGAGUGGAGAGGCUUUGACUAUCACAACAUCUUGUAGUGACUUGGACAUUGCCUGGGUUCCAGAAGUUUGAGGAUGUGUCUUGGUGUCACUCUACAGCCCUUGGGUUAAUUACACUCACAUGUCCCUUGUAACUCCGCCCCUUCUUAUUUUUUUGGAUGGAACUUUAUCUAAGAAUGAUGGUGCUCCUAAUAAAAGCCCACUUCCAAACCAAUGUGCUCUCGUGCUCUCUCGCUCUCCCUCUCUCCCUCUCUCCCUCUCUCUCCCUCUCUCUCUCUCCCCCUGUCUCUCGCCAGCCUCUCAUGACUAUCCCUUGCUCUCCCAUUUAGGGACCUUGAGGCCUAGAGCAGACGAGCCGUUCUGAAGUUUGUUUAAAGGUAAAGUGAGUGUGUUUUAUUUGGUGUCCUUAGAAAUUCACAUGAGUGACCUUAAGUUCACCUGCCCCCGUGGGUCAGGAGCAGCAGAGGAUCCACAAAAUUCUACCAGAAAACUUCUAGAACUAAUAAAUGAAUUCAGCAAUGUAGUAGGAUAUAAAGUCAACACUCAUAAAUCAAAUUUCUGUACACAGUGACAAAUCCUUUGAAAGAGAAAUUAGGAAAACUACCUCAUUUACAAUAGCCUCAAAAAAUAAUAAUAGGGGCUGGGGAUGUGGCUCAAGCGGUAGGGCGCUCGCCUGGCAUGCGUGCUAGGCAUGCGUGAGAGUUCGAUCCUCAGCACCACAUACAAACAAAGAUGUUGUAUCCGCUGAAACCUAAAAAAUAAAUAUUAAAAAA